CACCGCCCGUCGCUGUCCGGGACUGAGCUAUCUCGAGAGGACUGCGGGCUGCUGUACCAAGGCCUUUGGCUUGCGGUAUGGCGGGAAACAGUUCAAUCGCAAUGCCUCGAACCGGGGUAAAAGUCGUAACUGGGUAUCAGUAGGUGAACCUGCAGAUG
rnacentral:ncRNA from 1 species